rnacentral:rRNA from 2 species
GGUUAAGCGACUAAGCGUACACGGUGGAUGCCCUGGCAGUCAGAGGCGAUGAAGGACGUGCUAAUCUGCGAUAAGCGCCGGUAAGGUGAUAUGAACCGUUAUAACCGGCGAUUUCCGAAUGGGGAAACCCAGUGUGACUCGUCACACUAUCAUUAACUGAAUCCAUAGGUUAAUGAGGCGAACCGGGGGAACUGAAACAUCUAAGUACCCCGAGGAAAAGAAAUCAACCGAGAUUCCCCCAGUAGCGGCGAGCGAACGGGGAGGAGCCCAGAGCCUGAAUCAGCAUGUGUGUUAGUGGAAGCGUCUGGAAAGGCGCGCGAUACAGGGUGACAGCCCCGUACACAAAAGCGCAUGUGCUGUGAGCUCGAUGAGUAGGGCGGGACACGUGGUAUCCUGUCUGAAUAUGGGGGGACCAUCCUCCAAGGCUAAAUACUCCUGACUGACCGAUAGUGAACCAGUACCGUGAGGGAAAGGCGAAAAGAACCCCGGCGAGGGGAGUGAAAAAGAACCUGAAACCGUGUACGUACAAGCAGUGGGAGCACCCUUCGGGGUGUGACUGCGUACCUUUUGUAUAAUGGGUCAGCGACUUAUAUUCUGUAGCAAGGUUAACCGAAUAGGGGAGCCGGAGGGAAACCGAGUCUUAAUUGGGCGUUAAGUUGCAGGGUAUAGACCCGAAACCCGGUGAUCUAGCCAUGGGCAGGUUGAAGGUUGGGUAACACUAACUGGAGGACCGAACCGACUAAUGUUGAAAAAUUAGCGGAUGACCUGUGGCUGGGGGUGAAAGGCCAAUCAAACCGGGAGAUAGCUGGUUCUCCCCGAAAGCUAUUUAGGUAGCGCCUCGUGAAUUCAUCUCCGGGGGUAGAGCACUGUUUCGGCUAGGGGGCCAUCCCGGCUUACCAACCCGAUGCAAACUGCGAAUACCGGAGAAUGUUAUCACGGGAGACACACGGCGGGUGCUAACGUCCGUCGUGAAGAGGGAAACAACCCAGACCGCCAGCUAAGGUCCCAAAGUCAUGGUUAAGUGGGAAACGAUGUGGGAAGGCCCAGACAGCCAGGAUGUUGGCUUAGAAGCAGCCAUCAUUUAAAGAAAGCGUAAUAGCUCACUGGUCGAGUCGGCCUGCGCGGAAGAUGUAACGGGGCUAAACCAUGCACCGAAGCUGCGGCAGCGACACUGUGUGUUGUUGGGUAGGGGAGCGUUCUGUAAGCCUGCGAAGGUGGCCUGUGAGGGUUGCUGGAGGUAUCAGAAGUGCGAAUGCUGACAUAAGUAACGAUAAAGCGGGUGAAAAGCCCGCUCGCCGGAAGACCAAGGGUUCCUGUCCAACGUUAAUCGGGGCAGGGUGAGUCGACCCCUAAGGCGAGGCCGAAAGGCGUAGUCGAUGGGAAACGGGUUAAUAUUCCCGUACUUGGUGUUACUGCGAAGGGGGGACGGAGAAGGCUAUGUUGGCCGGGCGACGGUUGUCCCGGUUUAAGCGUGUAGGUGUGUGUUCCAGGUAAAUCCGGUUCACUUUAACACUGAGGCGUGACGACGAGGCACUACGGUGCUGAAGCAACAAAUGCCCUGCUUCCAGGAAAAGCCUCUAAGCAUCAGGUAACAUCAAAUCGUACCCCAAACCGACACAGGUGGUCAGGUAGAGAAUACCAAGGCGCUUGAGAGAACUCGGGUGAAGGAACUAGGCAAAAUGGUGCCGUAACUUCGGGAGAAGGCACGCUGACAUGUAGGUGAAGUGAUUUACUCAUGGAGCUGAAGUCAGUCGAAGAUACCAGCUGGCUGCAACUGUUUAUUAAAAACACAGCACUGUGCAAACACGAAAGUGGACGUAUACGGUGUGACGCCUGCCCGGUGCCGGAAGGUUAAUUGAUGGGGUCAGCGCAAGCGAAGCUCCUGAUCGAAGCCCCGGUAAACGGCGGCCGUAACUAUAACGGUCCUAAGGUAGCGAAAUUCCUUGUCGGGUAAGUUCCGACCUGCACGAAUGGCGUAAUGAUGGCCAGGCUGUCUCCACCCGAGACUCAGUGAAAUUGAACUCGCUGUGAAGAUGCAGUGUACCCGCGGCAAGACGGAAAGACCCCGUGAACCUUUACUAUAGCUUGACACUGAACAUUGAGCCUUGAUGUGUAGGAUAGGUGGGAGGCUUUGAAGUGUGGACGCCAGUCUGCAUGGAGCCGACCUUGAAAUACCACCCUUUAAUGUUUGAUGUUCUAACGUGGACCCGUAAUCCGGGUUGCGGACAGUGUCUGGUGGGUAGUUUGACUGGGGCGGUCUCCUCCUAAAGAGUAACGGAGGAGCACGAAGGUUGGCUAAUCCUGGUCGGACAUCAGGAGGUUAGUGCAAUGGCAUAAGCCAGCUUGACUGCGAGCGUGACGGCGCGAGCAGGUGCGAAAGCAGGUCAUAGUGAUCCGGUGGUUCUGAAUGGAAGGGCCAUCGCUCAACGGAUAAAAGGUACUCCGGGGAUAACAGGCUGAUACCGCCCAAGAGUUCAUAUCGACGGCGGUGUUUGGCACCUCGAUGUCGGCUCAUCACAUCCUGGGGCUGAAGUAGGUCCCAAGGGUAUGGCUGUUCGCCAUUUAAAGUGGUACGCGAGCUGGGUUUAGAACGUCGUGAGACAGUUCGGUCCCUAUCUGCCGUGGGCGCUGGAGAACUGAGGGGGGCUGCUCCUAGUACGAGAGGACCGGAGUGGACGCAUCACUGGUGUUCGGGUUGUCAUGCCAAUGGCACUGCCCGGUAGCUAAAUGCGGAAGAGAUAAGUGCUGAAAGCAUCUAAGCACGAAACUUGCCCCGAGAUGAGUUCUCCCUGAGACUUAGAGUCUCCUGAAGGAACGUUGAAGACGACGACGUUGAUAGGCCGGGUGUGUAAGCGCAGCGAUGCGUUGAGCUAACCGGUACUAAUGAACCGUGAGGCUUAACCUU